ensembl:lncRNA novel transcript
AUAGUUGUAUUAUGUUAGGUGUAAUUAUGACCUUAUUAUUGUCUUUAUUUGAAAAUUAUGUAUGAUCUCAGGAGAUGUGUAUGGGUUCAAGUUGACAAGGGGUGGACUUGUGAUGGUUAAUACUAAGUGUCAACUUGAUUGGAUUGAAGGAUUCGAAGUAUUAAUCCUGGGUGUGUCUGUGAGGGUGUUGCCAAAAGAGAUUUGAGUCAGUGGGCUGGGGAAGGAAAAUCUACUCUUAAUCUAGUGGGCACAAUCUAAUCAGCUGCCAGCAAAUAUAAAGCAGGCAGAAUAACAUGAAAAGAGUGAGACUGGCCUAGCCUCCCAGCCUAUAUCUUUCUCCCAUACUGGAUGCUUCCUGCCCUCAAACAUCGGACUCCAAGUUCUUCAGUUGUGAGACUCAGACUGGCUCUCCUUGCUUCUCAAGCUUGCAGACAGCCUAUUGUGGGACAUUGUGAUCGUAAAUGGCUGAGGAAAGAGACUUACUGGUAUCUACAGACUGGGUCAUCCUAUCUACUUGUUUUUUACAAUUCUCCUCUACUGAGGUCAUCCUUUGGUGAGUAUUCACAUGGAACACAAAUGUCUUUAUGUCCUUUGCCCAUUUAAAAAGGUGUAUCCACAUACCUCUUCAUCAUAUUUCUUUUGUCACCGGUUUUUCACCAUGUUUCUUCCAAGCCCUUGACCAUCCAGCCAAGCUAUUGACUACAGCCCAUGAAUUGGUAUAUAAUCACACAUCUGGCCCUUUCUCCUUCCACACAAAGCACACGACCAGGGGCACUGCCCAAAGUUUACCCCACUAAAAAGAUAUUCCUUCACCUUUGGACUUUCAGAGAUGUCUUAGAAAGGGGCUGUAGAGCUGCAGCUAGCUGUCUACUGUCAGUAGUACCCACAUAUUGUUCAGAACUAUCUAUUAACCAGGCCUGAGUCUUCUCUUCCCAUCAGCUGAUCAUAGCGAACUUCCCAUGAGGUUACAGCUACAGGCUGAGAAGAGGAGCCAUUGUAGCAAAGCAGAAACCAUGGACAUUUGUGCCACUUCUUCAUGGACCUUACUUGUGCCUUCAGGACCUGCCUGGGUUUGAUCAUGUAUAUACCACUUACAUUGAUGAUGAAGUGCUGCUGUGCAUGCCUAACUUUAUGGCUUGGUGGAUCAGAGAACAUCCAGUUCAUAAUAGGGAUCUUGGGUCACAUGGUAACUUGGUGGCCUGUGGUCAAGCUUUCAGUUUCUACUAAGGCUCAGUAGCAGGCCAAGAGCUGUCUCUCAAAAAGAGAGUAGUUAUUUGUGGAUGACAGCAGGGCAGUGCUCCAAAAUCCUAAAGGCCUUUGUUGCAAUUCACCUAUGGAGGCCUGCCAAAGGCUGCAAACAUUAUCCCUAUCUGCCACUGACACCUCAAGUACGCUUGGAGCUGCUAGGUCAUAUGGCCCAAGUGGCAGAGCAGCUUGCACAGCAGCCUAGACCUGUUGUGGAGCCUUCUCCUGCUUUAGACCCUACUCAAAACUAGCAGCUUUUUGAGUUUUUUGGUAAAUGAGCUAGAAUUUACCAAAUGGAAUUUCACCCCUGUGGUUUGAAUGUCUCCCCUCUAAAAUUCAGGUCUUGCCAAUUAGAUAGUAUUAACCCUUUUCCUGUUUAGAAUUUUAAAAAUGCAGCUCAUGGCCAGCACUCAUUUAAUUUUACUUAAACAUGCUCUUUGAGGCUGCAGCAAAUCUGACUUGAUUUUCCAAUGUGAAAAUAAAAUAUAAAAA